ACGGAGGUGCUUGGAGGCACGGAGGUGCUUGGAGGCACGGAGGUGCUUGGAGGCACAGGAUGCUUGUAGGCACAGGAUGCUUGGAAGCACAGGAUGCUUGCAGGGACGAGGGAGCUCUGGAUCAUAGCUUCCACAGGAGAAACGAAGAUACUCAGGCAUCGGAUCUCUGCCUGGUAUCUGAUUUUAAAUUCCCCGCCCUAGCCUGAUUGGCGGAGCAGGCAGGUGACGUCAGACCUGCUCCGCCUCCUUGCCCUCGCUUGUGAUGGCGGCGUCCUUGCUUCCGGGAAGCCGCCGGAGAGCAGCGCCGACCCGCCGCUGAAGCCGGAGACUGACAGGGGAAGAGAGGCGCCGGGCAGACCAGGCCACCCGCAGGGACAAGCGCGGUCGCCGCUGCCCGAGGUUCGU